rnacentral:misc_RNA from 1 species
UAGUUUUGGUUGAUUUAGGGUAUUCGAAGGAGAGAUGGUGUAGGUGAAGAUUAGGAAAUUAUUGUUUAAUUAAAUGUUAAUUAAGGAUAUAAAGAGUAAUAGAAUGAGGAUAGUUUAGUGAGGAAAUUUAGUGGAGAAAAGAGGUUGAAUAAUUUAGUUAGAAGGUAAGAGAAAGAAUGAUAUGGUGAGAUUAAGUUUUGGUGAAUAAGGUUUGUAUUUUAUUUUUUAAAGUAGUUUUUAUAUUUUAAGUUAUGUAUAGAGGAUAAUGGGGGAAGGGGUUGAGUUUUGUAGUAAAUUAGGUUUUUUUUUUGUAAAUUUAUUAUAUGUAAAAGUUUAGGUGAUUUGUAUUAUUUUUUGGUUUGGAGGUUUGUUAAUAUUUUAAGAUUUUUUUUUUAGAAAAUUUAUUUUUUUUUAAAGGUGGUUGGUUAGGAGUUAUUUUUUAAAAAAGUAUUAGAUAAAGUUGUAUUUUUAUAGAGUAAAGGUGUGGUGGGUUAUAAUAAGAAAAAGAAUUAAUUUAAGGGUUUUAGGUUAUAAAUAUUAAAGUUAUUAUUUAUAUUAAUUAUAUUAAUUAAUAUAUUGUUAGGGAUAUAGUAGGUAAGGGAUAUGGAAAUUUAGUAGUAAAUAAUGGUUUAAUAAGUGAAAAAUUAUUUAUUAAUAUAAUUUUUAAUUAAUUUUGUAAUUAUUUAAAAGAAUUUGUGUUUAGAUAGUUUAGAAUAUUUUUUGUUUUUUAUAGUUGGGAGGUUUUGAAUAAUUUUAUGUGGUUGGAAAAAUUUAUUUAGGUAGGUUAGAGGAUUUUUAAAGGAGUUUGUAGGUUAAAUAUUGUUAUAUUUAGGAAUUAUUAAUUGGAAUUGUAAGUUAAUUUUUUUUUUAGAGAGAGGUAGUGGGGGAGAGUUUUUUGUAAAGUUAGAGGUUUAGGUGAAAGUAUAAGUAGAAAGUAGGUAGAUUUUGGUUUUGGGGGUAUAUGUUUGAGAAUUUUUAGGGGGAUUUUUGAAGUUUGAUUUUGUUUUUGUGUAUGUUGAGUUUUUUUUUUUAUGAUUUUUGUUAUGGGUGGAGUUUUUUAUGGGUUUUUAGUAGUGAUAGAAUUUUAGUGGAGUUAUUUUAGAUUUUGAAAGAUGAUGUUGUGGAAAGUGUUGUAUUUAAUAUGUAAUAUGUAAUAUGUAUUUAAUAUGUAAUAUGUUGGUUUAUGGUAGUAGGGGAAUUUGGUUUCGAGAUGUGUUGAAGAAGGUUUUUUGAGGUUUUUUUUGGGUUGAGGUAGGAAAUUUUGGGUUUUUUUGAUUUGUGUAGGUGAUUUUAGGGGGUUUUUUAUGGUGGUUUUGAGAAGUUAGGGAAAUUGGAGGUGGGAGGGGUUUUUUGGGAUUUUAUUGGGUUUGGUGUAUUGGAAGAGGGUUUUAUUUUUAGUUGAGGUAGGAAUUGUAGGGUAUUUUUGAUUUUAGAUUUCGAUCGUAGGGUUUUUGUAGAUUGGGGAUAGGAGAGUUAGGUUUUGUUUUGGGUUGAGGUAUGGAAUUUUGUUUGUUUUUUGAGAUGUUUUUGGGGAGAGAGGUUGUUUGUUGAGUUGUAUUUGGAAUUUGGGGUUUUUUUUGAACGAUGUAUGGAAAAAUUGUUUUUUUGUGUUGAUUUUAUUUAUAGGGUGGAGUUUGGAGAGGUGUUUGGGUAUUGGGUUUUUAUUAAGAGGGGAUUGGGAAAUUGGGGUUUU